rnacentral:lncRNA from 1 species
GGGGCAUACCUCCAGAAUGAUAAGAGUGACGACAUCAAAAUUCAAACUUGAUCUGUAUUUUGUGAUAAUAAGCAUUGUGUGUAAAUUUCAUACAUUAUUUGAGGCAAACUAACAUUUUGUACGUUAGAGAACGGAAUCUAAAUAUUUUUUUUUCAUUCAUAAAGGGGCAUCACUCUAGAACAGUUAUAACAAGCAUUGCAUAUAUGUUUCAUAAAAUUAAGUAGAGGAAAACUCAGGUUACAGAACGGAAACCAAUUUUGGGAACGGAUGGACGGACGGACGGACAGACAAGGAUAACACUUAAUGCUCCCUCCAUUAGGGCAUAAAAAAAAAUUCAGUCAUACGUAUUUAAGUUUAUUGGAAAGUAUAAGUUAAUAUGACAAACUACAAUAGUAUAUAAUAUCUACAGUAUAAACUACGUACUUGUUCCACUUCAAAAAGUAAGAAAUUGUUUGGUUUAUUGAGGCUGUAGUAUGAAAGAAUUAAGAAUAUAAACACAUUAUCAUGCUCUACUGUUUUUAAAGACUCCUUAAAAGACAAUAUACUAUUAAUGUCUAUUUAUUUUUGUUUUGCUUUGAUAAUUUCUUAGAAUGUGUCAAAAUAGAUAAACAAUUCAGUUAUUUUCAGCUACGUGUCUACUAGUAUGGAAAUCUCAUUUUAAUCAUUAUUCAAAAAUAUGACCAAAUGGAAUAAAUUAUUUUGGUAAAUAUAUAGAUCUAAAAUACAUGUACUAUACAUAAAAAAAAGAAGAUGUGGUAUGAUUGCCAAUGAGACAACUCUCCACAAGAUAUCAAAAUGAAACAAACAUUAACAACUAUAGGUCACCGUACCGGCCUUGAACAAUGAGCAAAGCCCGCACACAUGUACUUUAUUUAUAAGAUUUUAGUGCCUUUUGUUUCUUUUGAGGUAAAAAUAUACAAAACUUUAAAACCUUUACUUUUUCACCUUUAGAUACAGUAAAUCAUUAAAACGCUCAUAAAAAUAUUCUAAAGAAAAAUAAAUAAACACUAUACAAUAAAUAUAUACAUGUAUAUACAUCUAUUGGUAUAAAAUACAUCAAAAUUAUCAAAGCCUUUCAUCUAUA